UGGGUUUCACAUUCGAUUGUGAAUUUUACGGGUUAGACAUAUAGCUCAUUGUGUUUUGUUAUUGGGCCAAAUUAAUUAUGUGAUCAAUUGGGCCUUUACACCUUACGGGUUGAAAUUAAAUAAUGUGGUAAUUUUAAGUAUGUGGGCCGGAAUAAAAACCCUAAUAAGGGCCUGUUGAGUCUUAAUGGGAGACCUAUUUGAUUCCUAUAUAAAGGCUAGGUCCCUUCUCCUCUUCAUAUCGUUUAAGUUUGUCCCAUUGAUAGCUUUCAAUUUUGUGAGGAGCAAGGAGGGGAAGAUCCAGCCUCUAUUAUAUAUUACAUCCAUAAUUCAUAUUGAUUGCUUCCGCAGGUACGUAUUUAAUUCAUUGGUUUAUUAAAGUUGUGAUUCCAA
rnacentral:lncRNA from 1 species